rnacentral:rRNA from 1 species
AUAUUUGAUAUUAAAUAUGAUAGAGCUUGAUCUUUUCUGAUCUCGAAAGCUAAGCAGGGUCGGGCCUGGUUAGUACGUGGAUGGGAGACCACCUAGGAAGACUAGGUGCUGUAGGCA